rnacentral:rRNA from 1 species
GAACGCUGGCGGCGUGCCUAACACAUGCAAGUCGAGCGGAGAUUGCUUAGAUGAGAGCUUCGGCAGGAUUCCGAGUAAUUCAGCGGCGGACGGGUGAGUAACGCGUGAGCAAUCUGUCUCAGGACAGGGGGAUAACGCAGCGAAAGUUGCACUAAUACCGCAUGAGACCACAACGUCACAUGGACGAAGGGGUCAAAGGAGCAAUCCGGUCUGAGGUGAGCUCGCGUCCCAUUAGGUAGUUGGUGAGGUAACGGCCCACCCAAGCCGACGAUGGGUAGCCGACCUGAGAGGGUGAUCGGCCACACUGGAACUGAGACACGGUCCAGACUCCUACGGGAGGCAGCGAGUGGGGAAUAUUGGGCAAUGGGCGAAAGCCUGACCCAGCAACGCCGCGUGAGUGAAGAAGGUCUUCGGAUUGUAAAUCUCUGUCCUAAGAGAAGAGGGGAAGACGGUAUCUUAGGAGGAAGCCCCGGCUAACUACGUGCCAGCCGCCGC